CCGGCCUACGGGGGGCAGCAGUGAGGAAUAUUGGUCAAUGGGCGAGAGCCUGAACCAGCCAAGUCGCGUGAGGGAGUACUGCCCUAUGGGUUGUAAACCUCUUUUGUCGGGGAGCAAAAGCCGGACGUGUCCGUCUGUGAGAGUACCUGAAGAAAAAGCAUCGGCUAACUCCGUGCCAGCAGCCGCGGUAAUACGGAGGAUGCGAGCGUUAUCCGGAUUUAUUGGGUUUAAAGGGUGCGUAGGCGGAGUGUCAAGUCAGCGGUAAAAUUUCGGGGCUCAACCCCGUCGUGCCGUUGAAACUGACA
rnacentral:rRNA from 1 species